GGAGCUUGCUCCCUGAUGUUAGCGGCGGACGGGUGAGUAACACGUGGGUAACCUGCCUGUAAGACUGGGAUAACUCCGGGAAACCGGGGCUAAUACCGGAUGGUUGUCUGAACCGCAUGGUUCAGACAUAAAAGGUGGCUUCGGCUACCACUUACAGAUGGACCCGCGGCGCAUUAGCUAGUUGGUGAGGUAACGGCUCACCAAGGCGACGAUGCGUAGCCGACCUGAGAGGGUGAUCGGCCACACUGGGACUGAGACACGGCCCAGACUCCUACGGGAGGCAGCAGUAGGGAAUCUUCCGCAAUGGACGAAAGUCUGACGGAGCAACGCCGCGUGAGUGAUGAAGGUUUUCGGAUCGUAAAGCUCUGUUGUUAGGGAAGAACAAGUGCCGUUCAAAUAGGGCGGCACCUUGACGGUACCUAACCAGAAAGCCACGGCUAACUACGUGCCAGCAGCCGCGGUAAUACGUAGGUGGCAAGCGUUGUCCGGAAUUAUUGGGCGUAAAGGGCUCGCAGGCGGUUUCUUAAGUCUGAUGUGAAAGCCCCCGGCUCAACCGGGGAGGGUCAUUGGAAACUGGGGAACUUGAGUGCAGAAGAGGAGAGUGGAAUUCCACGUGUAGCGGUGAAAUGCGUAGAGAUGUGGAGGAACACCAGUGGCGAAGGCGACUCUCUGGUCUGUAACUGACGCUGAGGAGCGAAAGCGUGGGGAGCGAACAGGAUUAGAUACCCUGGUAGUCCACGCCGUAAACGAUGAGUGCUAAGUGUUAGGGGGUUUCCGCCCCUUAGUGCUGCAGCUAACGCAUUAAGCACUCCGCCUG
rnacentral:rRNA from 1 species